AUUGAACGCUGGCGGCAGGCCUAACACAUGCAAGUCGAACGAGUGGCGGACGGGUGAGUAAUGUCUGGGAAACUGCCUGAUGGAGGGGGAUAACUACUGGAAACGGUAGCUAAUACCGCAUACCAUCAGAUGUGCCCAGAUGGGAUGAGCUAGUUGGUGGGGUAACGGCUCACCAAGGCGACGAUCCCUAGCGGUUCUGAGAGGCUGACCAGCCACACUGGAACGGAGACACGGGCCGGACUCAUCCGGGAGGCAGCAGAGGGGAAUAUUGCACAUUGGGGGCAAGCCUGAUGCAGCCAUGCCGCGUGUAUGAAGAGGGCCUUCGGGUUGUAAAGUACUUUCAGCGGGGAGGCGUUACCCGCAGAAGAAGCACCGGCUAACUCCGUGCCAGCAGCCGCGGUAAUAC
rnacentral:rRNA from 1 species